CCUACGGGAGGCAGCAGUGGGGAAUAUUGCACAAUGGGCGCAAGCCUGAUGCAGCGACGCCGCGUGAGGGAUGACGGCCUUCGGGUUGUAAACCUCUUUCAAUAGGGACGAAGCGCAAGUGACGGUACCUAUAGAAGAAGCACCGGCCAACUACGUGCCAGCAGCCGCGGUAAUACGUAGGGUGCGAGCGUUGUCCGGAAUUACUGGGCGUAAAGAGCUCGUAGGUGGUUUGUCGCGUUGUUCGUGAAAACCUGAGGCUUAACCUUGGGCGUGCGGGCGAUACGGGCAGACUGGAGUACUGCAGGGGAGACUGGAAUUCCUGGUGUAGCGGUGGAAUGCGCAGAUAUCAGGAGGAACACCGGUGGCGAAGGCGGGUCUCUGGGCAGUAACUGACGCUGAGGAGCGAAAGCGUGGGGAGCGAACAGGAUUAGAUACCCUGG
rnacentral:rRNA from 1 species